rnacentral:rRNA from 1 species
AGCGAACGCUGGCGGCAGGCUUAACACUUGCAAGUCGAACGGUCCUUCGGGAUAGUGGCGGACGGGUGAGUAGCACGUGGGAACGUACCCUUAGGUUCGGAACAACACAGGGAAACUUGUGCUAAUACCGGAUAAGCCCUUCGGGGGAAAGAUUUAUCGCCUUUGGAGCGGCCCGCGUCUGAUUAGCUUGUUGGUGAGGUAAUGGCUCACCAAGGCUACGAUCAGUAGCUGGUCUGAGAGGAUGGCCAGCCACACUGGGACUGAGACACGGCCCAGACUCCUACGGGAGGCAGCAGUGGGGAAUCUUGCGCAAUGGCGAAAGCCUGACGCAGCCAUGCCGCGUGGAUGAUGAAGGUCUUAGGAUUGUAAAAUCCUUUCACCGGGGACGAUAAUGACGGUACCCGGAGAAGAAGCCCCGGCUAACUUCGUGCCAGCCGCCGCCGUAA